rnacentral:lncRNA from 1 species
GAGUAAAAUAAAUAUGGUACAUUUAUUAACUGAUAAUCGGAAUAGGUUAGAAUUAAAAUAAAUAUGACAAUUGUUUGAUAUGUCAUUUAUGGAAACAUCAUUAUAGAUUACGAUUGUUAUGUCAUUUAUGGUAGCAUCGCUAUAGAUUACAAUGGUUUGAUAUGACAUUUAUGGUAAUGUCAUUGUCACUCAUUUAUGACAACGCUAAUGCCGGUCAUAAGAUAUACUAUAGAUUUUACCUAUCACAUGCCUGUCACACCACAAUCAAAUGCGAAAAUUCAAAUUUAUUUAAAUUUUGGGCUUCUUUUUUAAAAUCCUUAAUGAAAAAUUGAUAUUAUUUAAAAAUGUAAUUAUUAUUUGAAUUGUAUUUUUAUUAUUAUUUGAAUUUAUUAUUAUUAUUAUUAUUUAUUUUUACUUUACACGUUCCCAAGUUUGUAAAUAUGCUCUUAGAAAUCUAAUUUGUAAAUAUAAAAUGAAUACAAAAUAUAAUGCUAAUAAUUAAAAAUCCAAUAAAAAAUAAAAUCCAUGAAAUUUUAAUAUAUUGAAAUUACAAUCCAUUUUACUAUACAAACUACAACCACACCAAUUGUUGAAGUAAUCAUUGACAAUUUUAGUAAAAUACCAAUGAAUAAAAUAAAUAUGGUAUAUUUAUUAACUGGUAAUCGGAAUAGACUAGAAUUAAAAUAAAUAUGACAAUUGUUUGAUAUGUCAUUUAUGGUAACAUCACUAUAGAUACAAGUGUUAUGUCAUUUAUGGUAGCAUCACUAUAGAUUACAAUGGUUUGAUAUGACAUUUAUGGUAAUGUCAUUGUCACUCAUUUAUGACAACGCUAAUGCCGGUCAUAAGAUAUAUUAUAGGUUUUACCUAUCACAUGCCUGUCACACCACAAUCAAAUGCGAAAAUUCAAAUUUAUUUAAAUUUUGGGCUUCUUUUUUAAAAUCCUUAACGAAAAAUUGAUAUUAUUUAAAAAUGCAAUUAU